CAAAACAUAAAUUUUAUUUUUUGGACAGCACAUUCUGACAAAACAGAUAUAAAUAAUAACAAUAUAUGUAUCGAGACAUUCAAAUAUGGACAAGACAAAUAUAGCACUGUGAAGGCUGAAGUCUGGUUGAUCAAUCAAUGUAUUCCUUCUGCCUAGUGAUCUUUCAAGAUAUUGAUGAGCAGGCUCAGUUCAUUGAUUAUGCAUUUAUAAACCAAAGUUCCAGUUUUAAGUUCACUAUUGAGCUUUAAGUCUUCC
rnacentral:lncRNA from 1 species